rnacentral:rRNA from 1 species
UACGAAGGGGGCUAGCGUUGCUCGGAAUCACUGGGCGUAAAGGGUGCGUAGGCGGGUUUUUAAGUCAGGGGUGAAAUCCUGGAGCUCAACUCCAGAACUGCCUUUGAUACUGAAGAUCUUGAGUCCGGGAGAGGUGAGUGGAACUGCGAGUGUAGAGGUGAAAUUCGUAGAUAUUCGCAAGAACACCAGUGGCGAAGGCGGCUCACUGGCCCGGUACUGACGCUGAGGCGCGAAAGCGUGGGUAGCAAACAGG